rnacentral:rRNA from 1 species
UACGUAGGGCGCAAGCGUUAUCCGGAAUUAUUGGGCGUAAAGAGCUCGUAGGCGGUUUGUCGCGUCUGCCGUGAAAGUCCGGGGCUCAACUCCGGAUCUGCGGUGGGUACGGGCAGACUAGAGCGAUGUAGGGGAGACUGGAACUCCUGGUGUAGCGGUGAAAUGCGCAGAUAUCAGGAAGAACACCCGUGGCUAAGGCGGCUCUCUAGUACGGUACUGACGCUGAGACGCGAAAGCGUGGGGAGCGAACAGG